rnacentral:rRNA from 1 species
GACGAACGCUGGCGGCGUGCUUAACACAUGCAAGUCGAACGGAAAGGCCCUGCUUUUGUGGGGUGCUCGAGUGGCGAACGGGUGAGUAACACGUGAGUAACCUGCCCUUGACUUUGGGAUAACUUCAGGAAACUGGGGCUAAUACCGGAUAGGAGCUCCUGCUGCAUGGUGGGGGUUGGAAAGUUUCGGCGGUUGGGGAUGGACUCGCGGCUUAUCAGCUUGUUGGUGGGGUAGUGGCUUACCAAGGCUUUGACGGGUAGCCGGCCUGAGAGGGUGACCGGGCACCAUGGGACUGAGGGACGGACCAGACGCCUACGGGAGGCAAGAGGUGGGAAUAUUGCAAAAUGGGCGGAAGCCUGAUGCAGCAACGCCGCGUGCGGGAUGACGGCCUUCGGGUUGUAAACCGCUUUCGCCUGUGACGAAGCGUGAGUGACGGUAAUGGGUAAAGAAGCACCGGCUAACUACGUG